rnacentral:rRNA from 1 species
UACGUAGGGGGCAAGCGUUGUCCGGAAUCAUUGGGCGUAAAGCGCUUGUAGGCGGCCUGUCAAGUCGCGUGUGAAAUCCCCUGGCUUAACCAGGGAAGUGCGCGCGAAACUGAAGGGCUUGAGUGCCGGAGAGGGUCGCGGAAUUCCCGGUGUAGAGGUGAAAUUCGUAGAUAUCGGGAGGAACACCAGUGGCGAAGGCGGCGACCUGGACGGACACUGACGCUGAGACGCGAAAGCGUGGGGAGCAAACAGG